rnacentral:rRNA from 1 species
GAUGAACGCUAGCGAUAGGCUUAACACAUGCAAGUCGAGGGGCAGCAUGGUCUUAGCUUGCUAAGGCUGAUGGCGACCGGCGCACGGGUGCGUAACGCGUAUGCAACUUGCCUCACAGAGGGGUAUAACCCGUCGAAAGACGGACUAAUACCGCGUACACUCCAUCUUGUGCAUCCAAGGUAGAUGAAAUGAAAUUCGCUGUGAGCUAGGCAUGCGUCCCAUUAGCUAGUUGGUGAGGUAACGGCUCACCAAGGCGACGAUGGGUAGGGGAACUGAGAGGUGGAAACCACAGAAGGGUAAUGAGAAACGGACGAGAAUCAUACGGGAGGGAGGAGUAAGGAAUAUAGGGGAAUGGGCGAGAGCAUGAAACAGCCAAGUCGAGUGAAGGAAGACUGUCUUAGGGAUGGUAAACUUCUUUUAAACGGGAAAAACAAGAGUAACGUGUGACUCACUGAAUGUACCGGAUGAAUAAGCAUCGGCUAACUCCGUG